CAGCAGUCGCCACGGUAAAACGAAGGGGGCUAGCGUUGCUCGGAAUCACUGGGCGUAAAGGGUGCGUAGGCGGGUCUUUAAGUCAGGGGUGAAAUCCUGGAGCUCAACUCCAGAACUGCCUUUGAUACUGAAGAUCUUGAGUUCGGGAGAGGUGAGUGGAACUGCGAGUGUAGAGGUGAAAUUCGUAGAUAUUCGCAAGAACACCAGUGGCGAAGGCGGCUCACUGGCCCGAUACUGACGCUGAGGCACGAAAGCGUGGGGAGCAAACAGGAUUAGAUACCCCGGUAGUCCCUGUCUCUUAUAC
rnacentral:rRNA from 1 species